rnacentral:rRNA from 1 species
GACAGAGGGUGCAAACGUUGUUCGGAAUUACUGGGCGUAAAGCGCGUGUAGGCGGCAGGGCAUGUCGGAUGUGAAAUCCCGUGGCUCAACCACGGAAGUGCACCCGAAACUGCCCAGCUGGAGUCUCGGAGAGGAAGGCGGAAUGCUUGGUGUAGAGGUGAAAUUCGUAGAUAUCAAGUGGAACACCAGUGGCGAAGGCGAGUCUCUGGACAUUUCCUGACGCUGAGGCACGAAAGCCAGGGGAGCAAACGGG